UAUCCUGGCUCAGAUUGAACGCUGGCGGCAUGCCUUACACAUGCAAGUCGAACGGCAGCACGGGGCAACCUGGUGGCGAGUGGCGAACGGGUGAGUAAUACAUCGGAACGUGCCCUGAAGUGGGGAUAACGUAGCGAAAGUUACGCUAAUACCGCAUAUUCUGUGAGCAGGAAAGCAGGGGAUCGCAAGACCUUGCGCUUUAGGAGCGGCCGAUGUCGGAUUAGCUAGUUGGUGAGGUAAAGGCUCACCAAGGCGACGAUCCGUAGCGGGUCUGAGAGGAUGAUCCGCCACACUGGGACUGAGACACGGCCCAGACUCCUACGGGAGGCAGCAGUGGGGAAUUUGGACAAUGGGCGCAAGCCUGAUCCAGCCAUGCCGCGUGAGUGAAGAAGGCCUUCGGGUUGUAAAGCUCUUUCGGCGGGGAAGAAAUCGCAUUCUCUAAUACAGAGUGUGGAUGACGGUACCCGAAUAAGAAGCACCGGCUAAACUACGUGCC
rnacentral:rRNA from 1 species